UUAUUCAAGGUUUAACUUUUCAAAGUUUGGUUGAUAGUGGUAGUGAUGUAAAUUUAAUAACAUGUAAAGUAUUUUUCACUUUAGGAAUUACGAAGUUUACCCAAGAAAAUGUAAUGUUUACUGGGCUCGGAAAGAAACAAGUCAGACAGGAAGUUGAUGAUUUGGUAAACAGUUAUGUCCCAGUGCAAUCCAAGGAGGCACCCAUCGAGAUGAAGAUCAUACUUAAGGACGACAUUCCAGUUGCUCAGCGACCGAGACGAUUAUCUGUGAUGGAGACCAAGGAAGUGGACAACCAAAUAGGAAGUACAUCGAGAACUUCGCAUUAAUUGCUGCACCACUGACGACGUUACUCCGGAAAGACCAACAUUUUGAAUUUACUGAAAAGGAAAGAGAAGCAUUUCAUAUCCUGAAACAAAAGUUGUGUGAGAAGCCAGUACUGAAGAUCUACAACCCAGAAGCACCAACAGAACUGCAUACAGAUGCAUCAAUGCAUGCAUAUGCAGCCAUACUAAUGCAACUAUGCCCAGACGACGGAAAGAUGCAUCCAGUUUAUUAUUCCAGCUGCAAGACUACUGACAGUGAGAAGAAGUACACCAGUUACGAGUUGGAAGCAUUGGCAGUUGUUCAAGGAGUGAAGAAGUUCCGCAAAUACUUGCUUGGGAUUCCCUUCAAGAUUGUCACCGACUGUGCUGCUUUCGAGAUGACCCUAAAGAAGAAAGAUCUGGUCACUAGAGUCGCGCGCUGGGUACUGCUGCUACAAGAGUACGAUUACACAGUGGAGCACCGACCUGGAACUAAAAUGAGGCAUGUGGACGCAUUGAGUAGAGUGCAGUA